AAUCAAGUAUUGGACGCUUAACUGACUGAGCCACCCAGGUGCUCCUAAAGGGUAUUUGAUUAAUUCAAAACCAGAGAACACUGUGAACCCAUAGUGCCUCCCCCACUAAAAGACAAUUCAUCUGGCACUUUCACUGUGGUAAUUAGAAGACUUGAUUGUAAUUUUGAUGUAAAGGUUUUAAAUUCACAGAGAGCAGGAUACAAAGCAGACAUAGUUGACAAUAUUGACUCUGAUAAUCUCAUUAGCAUGGGAUCCAACAACUUUGAUGUGCUAAAGAAAAUUGACAUUCCAUCUGUCUUUACUGGGGAAUCAUCAGCUAGUUCCCUGAAAGAUGAAUUCACAUAU